GUCCAGACUCCUACGGGAGGCAGCAGUGGGGGAUAUUGCACAAUGGGGGGAACCCUGAUGCAGCGACGCCGCGUGGGUGAAGAAGUCAUUCGUGACGUAAAGCCCUAUCAGCAGGGAAGAAAAUGACGGUACCUGACUAAGAAGCCCCGGCUAACUACGUGCCAGCAGCCGCGGUAAUACGUAGGGGGCAAGCGUUAUCCGGAUUUACUGGGUGUAAAGGGAGCGUAGACGGCACGGCAAGCCGGCGGUCAAAUCGCGGGGCUCAACCCCGCCCAGCCGUCGGAACUGCCGGGCUAGAGUGGGCGAGAAGUGCGCGGAAUGCGUGGUGUAGCGGUGAAAUGCAUAGAUAUCACGCAGAACUCCGAUUGCGAAGGCAGCGCACCGGCGCCCUACUGACGCUCAGGCACGAAAGCGUGGGUAUCGAACAGGAUUAGAUACCCUUGUAU
rnacentral:rRNA from 1 species